AUAUAUUGCUCAAACCCUCAAACAGAAACUAAAAUAAGUUUGCGAUUUGUCGAUUUUAUUAUUUGGAACUUGGAAGACAGACACUUGUUUCACUUAGUUUUGCGAUUUCGUCUUGUGGUUGGCUUUGAACUUGGAAGACAGUGGCACUCAGGUUAAAUAUCCGAUUAUUCACAUUUGCUGUUUAGGAUGUAUUUGCAUAUUUGAAUUUGUGGUUUAGAGCUUAUGCUUAUUUCAUUAUUUGGUGAUUCCAAGUUGUUGUUUAGGGAAUUAGGGCACAUUUGUUGAUUUCAGUUUGUUGUUUAGGCCUUUAGGGCUUGUUUGCUUAUUGUAAUUUGUUGUUUAGGGAAUUAGGGCUCAUUGUUAAUCUCUUAAAUAGAUUUAUAUUUCAGCAAUGUCAAAUCGAAUCCAUACUUUUGAAUCUGGUUAUUCAAAAAGGCAAAAAAACAAUGUAAACAAAGUGCUUUAAUCGAAUCACAAAAAACGAGAACUUCUAAAUAUAUUGAAAAGGAUAACUUUUUAGUUUAUUAGUGUCGUUUCUCUCGUCACUAAACGAAAUUGCAGAACUGCAAGAUCUCACAGAGGCUCUACUCGCUGCUGCAGUGGUACGGGAGUGGACUGAUGGGUGUGGGAUUUAAACGACUCGGGCCAAAGUGAAUUUUCUAUCUUAGAGAAUUUCCUUGGGAAGAAUGUCGACGGUUAUUGCUUUAGCCUGCAGAAAUGUCCAAACGGGUUCAAUUAGGUGCAAAAUUUGAGAGCCAAAAGGAUAAGAAUGUGGACUACUUGUUUGUCAACUGUCAAGUGGCCCACUGGGUGUGGGAUUAUAUUUCAAAAUUGUGUAGAAUCAUAUCUAGUAUAUUUACAUUCUUUGUCAAGGAUAUUUUGGGAUGGCACAAGCUAAUUCGAGGUAUCACAAAGCGGAGAAAAUUAGUGUAGACAGUGAUGCAAGUUGCCAUAUGGGUGGUGUGGAGGAGCAGGAAUGAACUCGUCUUUAACACUAAACAAGCAUGCUUCGCUCUGAUGAUUGACGAAAUAAAGCAUCUAGCGUAUUUAUGGAUUAAAAGUCACUCGGUGCUAAAGGAAAUCACAUGGGAUGAAUGGUGUAAAUUUAAUGUUUCGAGUAAAUGUAGUUAAUGUGGUUCAUUUUGGACAAA